rnacentral:rRNA from 1 species
GUCUCUACGAAAAAUAAUAUACMGUCUAGCCUGCCCAGUGAAUAACUUAAAUGGCCGCGGUAUCCUGACCGUGCAAAGGUAGCAUAAUAAUUAGUUUUUUAAUUGAAAGCUUGCAUGAAUGGCUGGACAAAGAAAAAUCUGUUUCUACUUUUUUUUUUAAAAUUUUACUUUUAGGUGAAAAGGCCUAAAUAAAUUUAAUAGACGAUAAGACCCUAUAAAUCUUUAUAUGAUCUUUUCUUAUAAGUAAUUAUUUGAGUUUAUUUUUUAUAAAAAAAAGAUAUAUUUUGUUGGGGCGACAAGAAUACUAAAACUGUUCUAAUUUUCAAACAAAAAUUUUUGUCUAUAGUAGAUCCUUCACUGAAGAUUAAAAAUUUAAGUUACUUUAGGGAUAACAGCGUAAUUUUUUUUGAGAGUUCAUAUCGACAAAAAAGUUUGCGACCUCGAUGUUGAAUUAAAGUUUCUUUAUAAUGCAGCAGUUAUAAAAGUAAGUCUGUUCGACUUUUAAAACUUU